UUGUAUUUUUUAUCUUUUCUUACUUGCAGCUGAAGUCACGCAUUUUCUGGAAACGAUAUCCUUAUUACCUCACCAUAUCCUUGCCUUACAGUAGCCUAUUUCAUAAUUUGUCAGGACGUACCUGUGUAUACCUGUGUCCACCUAUCUCUGUCUACCUGUAUUACGCCCUCCACAGGCUCUUCCUGUCUUUCUGUUUGUCUGUGUUUGUGUGCAUCUCCAGGCUCCAGUGAUCCAGUCCAUCCUACCUGCACAAGAUCCACACCUGCGGUCCAGUUUCCCAAUAACUUGCGGUGACAUACCCUGGGUUUGCCCUCCACUCACCGCCAGAUCGUUGUUUUUACAACCUGAAACAUCCCACUCGCCAUCUUCCCAUUUGUCUGUCUGCUCUUUCAACUCAAUGAUGAGUGAUUUGCAGUUGAUGGAAUUGGAGGAUGAGCUCAGGAGUGCAGAUACAUUUAUUGAACAUCUCAAGACAGAACAGACAGAGAAGAACAGACAGAAAACUAGGACUGCAUCACCAAAGCCUGUUCAUUGGAAGUAGAGGGACCACAAUGGGGACAUUGUUCACCAGCGCCCACGAGCCCUUAGAAAGCAGUCAA